UCCCAACUGGACAAUGCCACAUGGAAUGCAGAAAAAACAUCAGGGGGGACAUCACCUGAUGCACAGCCCUCGAAAACUCUCCCCAAAAGAGUACCAGAGCGUGCCAAUGCAACGUUCCCAACUGGACAAUGCCACAUUGAAUGCAGAAAAAACAUCAGGGGGGACAUCACCUGAUGCACAGCCCUCGAAAACUCUCCCCAAAAGAGUACCAGAGCGUGCGAAUGCAACGUUCCCAACUGGACAAUGCCACAUUGAAUGCAGAAAAAACAUCAGGGGGGACAUCACCUGAUGCACAGCCCUCGAAAACUCUCCCCAAAAGAGUACCAGAGCGUGCGAAUGCAACGUUCCCAACUGGACAAUGCCACAUUGAAUGCAGAAAAAACAUCAGGGGGGACAUCACCUGAUGCACAGCCCUCGAAAACUCUCCCCAAAAGAGUACCAGAGCGUGCGAAUGCAACGUUCCCAACUGGACAAUGCCACAUUGAAUGCAGAAAAAACAUCAGGGGGGACAUCACCUGAUGCACAGCCCUCGAAAACUCUCCCCAAAAGAGUACCAGAGCGUGCGAAUGCAACGUUCCCAACUGGACAAUGCCACAUUGAAUGCAGAAAAAACAUCAGGGGGGACAUCACCUGAUGCACAGCCCUCGAAAACUCUCCCCAAAAGAGUACCAGAGCGUGCGAAUGCAACGUUCCCAACUGGACAAUGCCACAUUGAAUGCAGAAAAAACAUCAGGGGGGACAUCACCUGAUGCACAGCCCUCGAAAACUCUCCCCAAAAGAGUACCAGAGCGUGCGAAUGCAACGUUCCCAACUGGACAAUGCCACAUUGAAUGCAGAAAAAACAUCAGGGGGGACAUCACCUGAUGCACAGCCCUCGAAAACUCUCCCCAAAAGAGUACCAGAGCGUGCGAAUGCAACGUUCCCAACUGGACAAUGCCACAUUGAAUGCAGAAAAAACAUCAGGGGGGACAUCACCUUAUGCACAGCUCUCGAAAACUCUCCCCAAAAGAGCACCAGAGCGUGCGAAUGCAACGUUCCCAACUGGACAAUGCCACAUUGAAUGCAGAAAAAACAUCAGGGGGGACAUCACCUGAUGCACAGCCCUCGAAAACUCUCCCCAAAAGAGUACCAGAGCGUGCGAAUGCAACGUUCCCAACUGGACAAUGCCACAUUGAAUGCAGAAAAAACAUCAGGGGGGACAUCACCUGAUGCACAGCCCUCGAAAACUCUCCCCAAAAGAGUACCAGAGCGUGCGAAUGCAACGUUCCCAACUGGACAAUGCCACAUUGAAUGCAGAAAAAACAUCAGGGGGGACAUCACCUGAUGCACAGCCCUCGAAAACUCUCCCCAAAAGAGUACCAGAGCGUGCGAAUGCAACGUUCCCAACUGGACAAUGCCACAUGGAAUGCAGAAAAAACAUCAGGGGGGACAUCACCUGAUGCACAGCCCUCGAAAACUCUCCCCAAAAGAGUACCAGAGCGUGCGAAUGCAACGUUCCCAACUGGACAAUGCCACAUUGAAUGCAGAAAAAACAUCAGGGGGGACAUCACCUGAUGCACAGCCCUCGAAAACUCUCCCCAAAAGAGUACCAGAGCGUGCGAAUGCAACGUUCCCAACUGGACAAUGCCACAUGGAAUGCAGAAAAAACAUCAGGGGGGACAUCACCUUAUGCACAGCCCUCGAAAACACUCCCCAAAAGAGCACCAGAGCGUGCGAAUGCAACGUUCCCAACUGGACAAUGCCACAUUGAAUGCAGAAAAAACAUCAGGGGGGACAUCACCUGAUGCACAGCCCUCGAAAACUCUCCCCAAAAGAGUACCAGAGCGUGCGAAUGCAACGUUCCCAACUGGACAAUGCCACAUUGAAUGCAGAAAAAACAUCAGGGGGGACAUCACCUGAUGCACAGCCCUCGAAAACUCUCCCCAAAAGAGUACCAGAGCGUGCGAAUGCAACGUUCCCAACUGGACAAUGCCACAUUGAAUGCAGAAAAAACAUCAGGGGGGACAUCACCUGAUGCACAGCCCUCGAAAACUCUCCCCAAAAGAGUACCAGAG
rnacentral:misc_RNA from 1 species